rnacentral:rRNA from 1 species
GAUGAACGCUGGCGGCGUGCCUAAUACAUGCAAGUCGAGCGAACAGACGAGGAGCUUGCUCCCCUGACGUUAGCGGCGGACGGGUGAGUAACACGUGGAUAACCUACCUAUAAGACUGGGAUAACUUCGGGAAACCGGAGCUAAUACCGGAUAAUAUAUUGAACCGCAUGGUUCAAUAGUGAAAGACGGCUUUGCUGUCACUUAUAGAUGGAUCCGCGCCGCAUUAGCUAGUUGGUAAGGUAACGGCUUACCAAGGCAACGAUGCGUAGCCGACCUGAGAGGGUGAUCGGCCACACUGGAACUGAGACACGGUCCAGACUCCUACGGGAGGCAGCAGUAGGGAAUCUUCCGCAAUGGGCGAAAGCCUGACGGAGCAACGCCGCGUGAGUGAUGAAGGUCUUCGGAUCGUAAAACUCUGUUAUUAGGGAAGAACAAAUGUGUAAGUAACUAUGCACGUCUUGACGGUACCUAAUCAGAAAGCCACGGCUAACUACGUG